ensembl:lncRNA
CCUGAUGCGAGUAGAAAUGUGUAGCAAAGCACAACUGCGUUGACUUGUAUGUUGAAUAUAAAUCACUGAUAAUGUGUGAAGGAAAUCAGGGAUUGUGGUGGUUUAACUCUCAUUUGAAAAUGUAAUAAUUGUACCUGAAAGUAACAUUUAAAAGACAAAACUUUCAAACUUGUCAAAGUGAGAAGUAAAUCACUCUUGACUAAUGACAUCAAAUAAUUAGUAUAACUUAUAUUAAAAAGCUGGUUUAUUUUAUUAUGUUAAACAUUAUUUAAAAGUUGGAUGAUCCCAAAAGCCCUGAAUUUGUAUUGGGAUUCAUUUAUCUGAUUUAAUGGAGAUAGUAAAUGUUGAACUGUGGGACGGUGCCCAACUUUGCGGACAAUAAUGAGGAAACUGUUCGUUCCUUCAAAGAUCUAUCAUGGAUAUUUAACUGCAGUUCUGUGAGUAUCCAAACUUAACCAUGAAGAUGAACUGCAAACUGAAGACCAUCGCUGGACUUCAGGAUCUUCCUCCGUUCAGCUCAAGGUGAGGCGCUGGUUCUGUUUUUUCUUUGGUUGGUUCCGGCCGGAAUGUUCGGAUUCCAGUCGGACGGUUUGUGCUUCCCGCCGUGGAAGGUUCUGAGUGAGGUCACUUGAUUUAGUCUCAAUGGUUUGCAUAGAACGUCGUAGGCUUGACAACCAUAAGAACCCACAUGGCAGUUAGUUGGACGGGAAUCCCCUGAGGGUAUCUGGCGGAACGUGCUGGGUUGUAUUUGCGUAACCUCGAGCCGUUGCCAACAAACUACUUUUCAGUCGGUUUCCAUUGGGAAUUGUUGCACCUUAUCUUAAACAACUUAAGUUUGAUAUUAAAUACAUACUGAUGCGUACAUCGUACAAUAUGUUAAUUUCCGACUGUUAUCAGUGAAGGCUGAAAAUCAUUUCAAGGUGGAUGACAAUUUGGCAUUUCUUCAACGGAACCCUGCACCUGAAUAUGGCUGAGUAUAUUUGAUUUAAUAUCGAUACUGCUUAGUGUUCUUUGUUACUUCAGGUUUUGUACGUUCUAAAUAUCAGGUGUCAUUAAUUGGAGUUAAACCCCACCAAUGGACUGACGACUUUGGUGCUUAGUUACCAACUGGAUAAUAACAAAGCUACAUGUCACAGUAGAAGAAACUCUAGAACUGUACAAGGUUAAAAAGGUAACGUUUAGUUUGUCCCAAGGUCUCCACCUCCUCACCCAGAGCCAGACCUCCACCUCCUCACCCAGAGCCAGACCUCCACCUCCUCACCCAGAGCCAGACCUCCACCUCCUGUCAGAAGUCCUCCAGAACAGCUGAAAGGCGAGGCUGAGAGGCUGGGGACCGGCUUGUGGUGCCAGGAUGGACCGGAGACUGGGGCUGGAGACCAGGGGCCUGCAGCACCGAACCAGAGGGAAUCCAUGGCUGAAGGAGCUGAUGGAGGAGCCGUGCUGAAGGCCCUGCCUGGUGGAGGAGCUGAGGACGUCUGUCGUGGGACCAGGACUCUGUCUGAAGAGAGCUGAUGGAGGAGCUGAGACGCUGGAGGACGUCUAGGAAUCAACCAACAAGGAUUCCUCAACGCGUUUCUGGAGCGGAGGCGAGCUGGUAGGGGAGCCGUGAAUCUGGAGAGUGACCAUCACUCUACCAACAAGGAUUGUAAGUUUGUUAUAACCUAGCUGUUUGUAACCAAACGUUGGGUCCAGUCUUGCGCUGUUUUGCAAAUUUAAGCACUGUGGCUUGACGACCCUGGAAACCUCCCCCAUCC